rfam:Triticum aestivum genome assembly, contig: Triticum_aestivum_CS42_TGACv1_scaffold_437097_5DL
UAACUACCCACUCCGUCCGAAAAUACUUGUCGGAGCAAUGGAUGUAUCUAGAUGUAUUUUAGUUCUAGAUACAUCCAUUUUUAUCCAUUUCUCCAAUAAAUAUUUCUGGACGGAGGGAGUAAUUU